rnacentral:SRP_RNA from 1 species
GCCGGGCAUGGGGGCGCAUGCCUGUAGUCCCAGCUACUCAGGAGGCUGAGGCUGGAGAAUCACUUGAACCCAGGAGGCAGAGGUUGCAGUGAGCCGAGAUCAUGCCACUGCACUCUGGCCUGGGCGACAGAGCGAGACUCUGUCUCAA